rnacentral:rRNA from 1 species
CUACGUGCCAGCAGCCGCGGUAAUACGUAGGUGGCAAGCGUUGUCCGGAAUUAUUGGGCGUAAAGCGCGCGCAGGCGGAUCAGUUAGUCUGUCUUAAAAGUUCGGGGCUUAACCCCGUGAUGGGAUGGAAACUGCUGAUCUAGAGUAUCGGAGAGGAAAGUGGAAUUCCUAGUGUAGCGGUGAAAUGCGUAGAUAUUAGGAAGAACACCAGUGGCGAAGGCGACUUUCUGGACGAAAACUGACGCUGAGGCGCGAAAGCCAGGGGAGCGAACGGGAUUAGAUACCCCGGUAGUCCUGGCCGUAAACGAUGGGUACUAGGUGUAGGAGGUAUCGACCCCUUCUGUGCCGGAGUUGACGCAAUAAGUACCCCGCCUGGGGAGUACGACCGCAAGGUUGAAACUCAAAGGAAUUGACGGGGGCCCGCACAAGCGGUGGAGUAUGUGGUUUAAUUCGACGCAACGCGAAGAACCUUACCAGGUCUUGACAU